rnacentral:rRNA from 1 species
AAAUGAAUAGACGGGGGCCCGCACAAGCGGCGGAGCAUGUGGCUUAAUUCGACGCAACGCGAAGAACCUUACCAGGGCUUGACAUAUAGGGAAAAGCCGCAGAGAUGCGGUGUGCUUCGGCGUCCUAUACAGGUGGUGCAUGGUUGUCGUCAGCUCGUGCCGUGAGGUGUUGGGUUAAGUCCCGCAACGAGCGCAACCCCUGUCCUAUGUUGCCAGCGAGUAAUGUCGGGGACUCAUAGGAGACUGCCGGUGUCAAACCGGAGGAAGGUGGGGAUGACGUCAAAUCAUCAUGCCCCUUACGUCCUGGGCUGCACACAUGCUACAAUGGCCGGUACAAAGGGCUGCGAUCUCGUGAGGGUGAGCGAAUCCCAUAAAGCCGGUCUCAGUUCGGAUUGGAGUCUGCAACUCGACUCCAUGAAGGCGGAGUCGCUAGUAAUCGCAGAUCAGCAACGCUGCGGUGAAUACGUUCCCGGGCCUUGUACACACCGCCCGU